UCGGGGGCAUUGGGGGCAAUGGGGGCAACGAGGGUAAUGCAGGCAUUGGGUCCAUUGGUUCCCUUGGUUCUGUUGGUUCCCUUGGUUCCGUUGGUUCUGUUGGGUCCGUUGGUUCCGUUGGGUCCGUUGGUUCCACUGGGUCCAUUGGUUUCAUUGGUUCCGUUGGUUCUGUGGUUCCAUUGGUGCUAUUGGUUCCGUUGGUUCUAUUGGGUCCAUUGGUUCCAUUGGUUCUGUUAGUUCUGUUGGUUCUAUUGGUUGCAUUGGUUCCAUUGGGUCCGUUGGUUCCAUUGGUUCCAUUGGUUCUGUUAGUUCUGUUGGGUCCAUUGGUUCCGUUGGGUCCACUGGUUCCAUUGGGUCCACUGGUUCCGUUGGGUCCAUUGGUACCAACGAUACCAUUGGUUCCAUUGGUUCCAUCAGUACCAUCGACACCAUUGGUUCCGUUGGUUCCGUUGGGUCCAUCGGUUCCGUUGGUUCCGUUGGGUCCAUCGGUACCACUGCUUCCAUUGCUUCCACCGGUUCCAUUCUUCCCAUUGUUUCCAUUGGUGCCACGGUGGUGCUGCGGUGUUGCCAUUGACUCCCCCAGUCCCGGUUCCGGUUCCGGUUCCGGUUCUGGUUCCUCCUCCGGUUCAGGCGUGCAGGCAGCGGUUGAAGGCGUUGUAGGCGGACUCGAGGUCGAAGAGCAUCUGGCGGACCUGGGAGUCGUCCAGCUCGUCGGCAGCCGACAUGGAGCUCAGCGUCUGCAGCCUGCGACGGCAGCGGGAUUUGGGAUCAGCAGCACGCACCAGGGGACCCCGAACGACCCCAUAAGGGCCCCAUAGGGUCCCUGAGCACAUAAGGAACCCAUAGACCACCCUGACACCAGAAGGACCCCGUAAAGACCCCAUAAGGACCUCAUAAGGACACCACAAGGACUCAUAAAACCCAUAAGGAACGCAUAGACAAUCCUGACCCCAUAAGGACCCCAUAAGGACUCCAUAACCCCAUAAGAUACCAUAAGACCCCAUAAGACCCCAGAAGGACCCCAUAAGACCCCAUAAGGACACCACAGGGACCUGUAGAAUCCAUAAAGAAACCAUAGAUCGCCCUGACCCCAUAAGGACCCCAUAAGACCCCAUAUGACCCCAUAAGAACACCACAAGGACCUGUAGAACCCAUAAGGAACCCAUAGACCACCCUGACCCCAUUAGGACCCCAUAAGGACCCCAUAACCCCAUCAAAACCCAUAAAACCCCAUAAGACCCCAUAUGACCCCAUAAGGACCUCAUAUGACCCCAUAAGGACACCAGAAGGAUCUGUAGAAACCAUAAGGAACCCAUAGACAACCCUGACCCCAUAAGGACCCCAUAACCCCAUAAAACCCCGUAAGAUCCCAUACUGACCCCAAAAGGCCCCAUAAAGAUCCCAUAUGACCCCAUAAGGACACCACAAGGACCUGUAGAACCCAUAAGGAACCCAUAGAACACCCUGACCCCAUAAGGACCCCAUAAGACCCCAUCAAAACCCGUAAAACCCCAUAAGACCCCAUGAAGACUCAAUAUGACCCCAUAAGGACACCACAAGGACCCAUAGAAACCAUAAGGAACCCAUAAAACACCCUGACCCCAUAAGGACCCCAUAAGGACCCCAUAACCACAUCAAAACCCAUAAAACCCCAUAAGACCCCAUAAGGAUCCCAUAAGGACCCUAUUAAGACCCCAUAAGACCCCAUAAAGACCCUAUAAAGACCCCAUAGGGACCCCAAAAAACCCUAUAAACCCCAUAAGACCCCAUAAGGACCCCACAAGACCCCAUAAGACCCCACAAGGACCUCAUAGGACC
rnacentral:lncRNA from 1 species